rnacentral:rRNA from 1 species
UACGUAGGGGGCAAGCGUUGUCCGGAAUCAUUGGGCGUAAAGAGCGUGUAGGCGGCCAGAUAAGUCCGCUGUGAAAUCUCGAGGCUCAACUUCGAGCUGUCGGUGGAAACUGUCUGGCUAGAGUCCGGAAGAGGAGAGUGGAAUUCCUGGUGUAGCGGUGAAAUGCGCAGAUAUCAGGAAGAACACCCGUGGCGAAGGCGGCUCUCUGGGACGGUACUGACGCUGAGGCACGAAAGCGUGGGGAGCAAACAGG